CAGCCGCCACGGUAAUACAGAGGAUGCAAGCGUUAUCCGGAAUGAUUGGGCGUAAAGCGUCUGUAGGUGGCUUUUCAAGUCCGCCGUCAAAUCCCCGGGCUCAACCCUGGACAGGCAGUGGAAACUACCAAGCUGGAGUACGGUAGGGGCAGAGGGAAUUUCCGGUGGAGCGAUGAAAUGCGUUGAGAUCGGAAAGAACACCAACGGUGAAAGCACUCUGCUGGGCCGACACUGACACUGAGAGACGAAAGUUAGGGGAGAAAAUGGGAUUAGAUACCCCUGUAGUCCCUGUCUCUUAUAC
rnacentral:rRNA from 1 species